rnacentral:rRNA from 1 species
CCAAUAGCGUAUAUUAAAGUUGUUGCAGUUAAAAAGCUCGUAGUUGAAUUUCGGGGUUAGUAGAUUGGUCGUGCCACUGGUAUGUACUGGUCUUACUGAUUCCUCCUUCCUGAUGAACCGUAAUGCCAUUAAUUUGGUGUUGCGGGGAGACUGGACUGUUACUUUGAAAAAAUUAGAGUGUUUAAAGCAGGCUAACGCUUGAAUACAUUAGCAUGGAGUAAUGAAAUAGGACGUUCGAUCCUAUUUUGUUGGUUUCUAGGAUUGACGUAAUGAUUAAUAGGGAUAGUUGGGGGCAUUAGUAUUCAAUUGUCAGAGGUGAAAUUCUUGGAUUUAUUGAAGACUAACUACUGCGAAAGCAUUUGCCAAGGAUGUUUUCAUUAAUCAAGAACGAAAGUUAGGGGAUCGAAGACGAUCAGAUACCGUCGUAGUCUUAACCAUAAACUAUGCCGACUAGGGAUCGGAUGAUGUUAAUUUUUUAAUGACUCAUUCGGCGCCUUACG